rnacentral:rRNA from 1 species
UACGUAGGGGGGCAAGCGUUGUCCGGAAUCAUUGGGCGUAAAGCGCGCGUAGGCGGCCCGGUAAGUCCGUUGUGAAAGUCGAAGGCUCAACCUUCGAAAGCCGAUGGAUACUGCCGGGCUAGAGUACGGAAGAGGCGAGUGGAAUUCCUGGUGUAGCGGUGGAAUGCGCAGAUAUCAGGAGGAACACCAAUAGCGAAGGCAGCUCGCUGGGACGUUACUGACGCUGAGGCGCGAAAGCGUGGGGAGCGAACAGG